rnacentral:rRNA from 1 species
GACAGAGGUGCCAAGCGUUAGGCGGAAUCACUGGGCUUAAAGCGUGUGUAGGCGGGUUCCUAAGUACCUUGUGAAAUCCCCCGGCUCAACCGGGGAACGGCUUGGUAUACUGGGUGCCUUGAGCCAGCUAGGGGCGACCGGAACAAGUGGUGGGAGCGGUGAAAUGCGUAGAUAUCAACUUGGAACGCCAACGGUGAAAACAGGUCGCUGGGGGCUGUGCUGACGCUGGAGACACGAAAGCCAGGGGAGCGAACGGG